AUGCUGUUCUGGCUAUGGGGGGUCGGAUCCUUUGGCUGUUCCUCGGGGCUCCUCCUGCCCCCCCCGGGUUUGGAAAUGGGGGGGGGGUUAAUGGUGGUGCUACGCGGACUCGCCCAUGUUAUGGUUGGAGGGGGAGCGGGGUUGGAGACGCGCCAACAGUGGGUGAUGAUUAUUGCGAAAAUCGAAGGGGUGGAUGAAAGGGUGGGGGGGGGGAGGGGGAGGGGAGGAGGGAAGAGCCUCGUGGUGACGGGGGGGAGGGGCGUCACCAUGGCAACCAGGAAGAGCAUCACCAUGGAGACGGUCACCAUGGCAACAAGGAGGAGCAUCAACAUGGCGGCCAUGAAGAGCAUCAACAUGGCGACCAUAAAGAGCAUCACCAUGGCAACCAGGAGGAUGCUCGUCACCAUGGCAACCGUCACCAUGGAGACCAGGAUGGGCAUCAACAUGGCGACCGUCACCAUGGAGACCGUCACCAUGGCAACCAGGAUGGAGAGCAUCAACAUGGAGACCAUAAGGAAUGUCAACAUGGCGACCAGGAGGAUGCUCGUCACUAUGGCAACCGUCACCAUGGAGACCAGGAUGGGCAUCAACAUGGCGACCGUCACCAUGGUAACCAUAAAGAGCAUCACCAUGGCAACCAGGAUGGAUGUCCAUCACCAUGACGACCAUGAUGUCCAUCACCAUGACGACCAUGAUGUCCAUCACCAUGGCAACCAGGAUGCUCGUCACCAUGGCAACCAUCACCAUGGCGACCCCGUGAGCUCCGAGGAGGAGGAUGAUGAUGAUGAUGAUGGUGGUGGGGGCAGCUCGGAGGAGGAUGAAGAUGAUGAUGAUGAUGAUGAUGGUGGUGAUGGACGUUACAGGCCGGGAUCCAUCUGCAGCUACUGCAGCUUCUGCAAGGUGAGCUAUGGGGCGGAUGUGGGGCAGCUAUGGGGCAGAUAUAGGGCAGAUAUAGGGUAUCUAUGGGGCAGCUAUGGGGUAUCUAUGGGGCAGCUAUGGGGUAGAUAUGGGGCACUAUGGGGCAGCUAUGGGGGUAUCUAUGGGGCCAGCUAUGGGCAGCUAUGGGGUUAUCUAGGGGCAAGAUAUGGGGUUAUCUUCUUGGGGCAGAUAUGGGGCAGCUAAUGGGGUAUCUAUGGGGCAGCUAUGGGUAGAUAUGGGGCAGAUAUGGCGGCAGCUAUGGGGGCAGAUAUGGGGUAUCUUGGGCAGCUAUGGGGUAUCUAUGGGGCAAUAAUGGGGCAGCUAUGGGUAUCUUAUGGGGCAGCUAUGGGGCAGCCAAUGGGGCAGCUAUGGGUAAUCUAUGGGGGCAGCUAUGGGACAGAUAUGGGGUGCUUUAAGGGUAUCUAUGGGGUCAUCUAUGGGGCAGCUAUGGGCAAGCUAUGGGCGGGUCUCUAUGGGGGGGUCCAAUGAGGGGGGGUCUCUUUUGGGGUCCAUUGGGGGGGUCUCUUUAGGGUCUAUUGGGGGGGGGGUCCUCUUGGGGGGCUAUUGGGGGGGUCUCUCUGGGGGGUCAAUGGGGGGGGUCUCUGUGGGGGGGGU
rnacentral:lncRNA from 1 species